AUCCUCGUAACUGGUGCCCAACCACAGUCUUCAUUUCUCACUGAAUACAAGAAAAUAAAAGACCAAAGGUAAAGAUUUCUUGGCCUUAUAUCACUGAGAAUCCUAGAGAACAUCUCUGACUCAUGGCUACAUUUGCAUGGAUCCUAGCAAAAUAAGAUCAUUGCUCUCAUUAAGUAAAAAAAAAUUAAAUUGUUCCUGGGUAACGCUGAUCAAAAUCCACGUAUAGCUGUGAUAUCACCAUGACAUGAGCAGCUUUGCACCACCACACCCUUCCACCAUGAUGUUCCUGCCUUGGAGCCAGCUAACCAUGGACUAAACCCUCUGAAACUGACUACAAUGCAGUUUCUACAAAAACUGAGACCUUCUUUACUUCAUCACUGAGCCUAGAAUAUCUAGAACCCUACAGCCCUUAAAAGAUAUUAGUUGGAAGAAUGUAUAGUCCUAAGAUAUUAUCAUUUCUCCUGUGACCUAACAUGC
rnacentral:lncRNA from 1 species